UCCUCUCAGAGCUGUGACACAGUCUACUGAUGUUAUUGUGUGGGAAGGGAGAGAGCUACUGGGAGGAGGUUGUGCCAGACAGACUGAUGGAAUGCCCCUUAGAAUAAAAGGAUCAGAUUCCUCAGAUGCCAGGUGGGCAGGGCUGAGGAUCUAGGGCAGAGGGAAAGAUCCUAAGCACCAGGCAGGCUUCACCCAGAAGGAAGAUGCUGGAUCUUGGAAUUGGCUUUGGAUAAGGAGCACCCAGUAUUUCCUUAGCCUUAAGAGGGCAGCAACCCAGCCUGCCUCCUUUCCUGUUGUGUCUAAGAGCCCCGGGCAAUCAGUGGACAGGUAGCAGGUGUGGAAGAGAUGUGAGUGAAGGAACAGGUUGGCAGGACACGGCCUUGGCAGACAUAGAGUCAUCUCAAUGCCCCUUGGCUGGGGAGAUGAUGAGCAGCCCCCAGCUGGCCUGGGUAAAGAUAAUGCCUAUGGCAUGCCCAGGCAGGAUUAUAUCACUAAGUAGUAUGCCCUUAUCUUAGAAGAUUUGGCUAACAGGUGUUUCCCUUCUGCCUAUCGUCUGCCAAGCAGGUUGUAACCCGAGCAAUGUAACCAGAAUCUCUUGCUCCUCCCACUGUCUAUUCCCUGGCAUACACUUCCAACAGCUUCUCUGUAACUGAAGGGUCUGCUUCUUGUCCCCUUCAGUUUCCACAUGAUGUUUGUGAGGGCUCACACCCAUUGGUCAUACAGCUUGCUUGGACAUACAUUAGAAUGUUAACCACUCCAAUCCCAGUGGGGGUAGAGCUGCUACCCAUGACCUCCUAAGGCUUGUCCUUCGUCCUGGGCCAUCCUCCCUCCUGUCCUUCCUCAGGUCCAGCCACCUCUAAUAUCACCCAAACUUCAGACACCCCAAUGCAUUUGCCAGCCUGACCCUCUGCUGGUGCCCUGUCUAAUACGAAACAGUCCACUAAGAGCCAGGAGACAAGGAGGGACAUAGAGAGCUUCAAAUAUGAAGUUCCCAGGGAUGGCAGGGACUAUGUCGAGCCCAUUCUCCGAAGCUGGAGUCCACUGGCCAGUCAAGAGGCACCCCAGCCAGCACUGUGAGCAGAAAGAUGGGCGAGCAGAACUGAGUACUCUCAAAGGACGAUUCGCAGUGCUUUGAGUCCCAGGUACCUGGGCUGCCAUCAGAAGCCACCUGGAACUGAUUCCAGAGCAAGGCUCUCACUCCUUGGGGAUGGACUUUUAUCUCAACUGGUUGAGAUAGGGAUGCUGGCUUAAAUUAUAACCCCAGCCUAUCCCUCCUAGGUGCAAACUCUUCUGGGCCAUCCACUUCCCUGAAAACCUUUGUAUGACUCCAGCAGAGGUUUCCACUCAGCUACCCACUGUUCCAAUGGUGGGCAUGCAGUUCCCAGCAGUUUGCCCUCUACAACGCACGCCCCCAAACACUACCAACAGCUCCCCUGGUCUCACAGUAUCCCCUCGUGCCCAAUGUCCCCAGUGUUCUGAUAUUCCAAUACGUUGCCUCCACAGUAUGCUACUCCUAGGUCCCUGACCGCUGGCCCGCCCCUAUGAAGGAGCCUCUUUUGUGGGUUCCACUUUCAGUAUCCCCUGUCUUCGAGAGCCACCCGGGGUCCCCGUGUCCCUAUCCUCAGCUUCCCUGCCACCAGCCGCCACCGCCUGAGUUUCUCCAUCACCACCAUGCGUCCCUGCGUCCCACCUCGCGGUCUCGGGGUACCCGAGGAUCCCCGCGGUCCUGGCCCCGGCCUCCCGCGUCCCCCGCGUUCCCAGCCCCGCGCCGCUGACGCCAUGACGCCGCGGCGGAGCGAGGGGCGGAGCGGGCGGCCGGACGAGCGCGGCUCCAAGACCGGUCCCGCAGCAGCUGUGCGCCGUGGCCGAUGGACAUGGGCACGCAGGGAUCGGGGCGCAAGCGGCUCCCCAACCGGGAGCGGCUGACGGCGGAGGACGACGCGCUGAACCAGAUCGCGCGCGAGGCGGAGGCCAGGCUCGCAGCGAAGCGUGCAGCCCGAGCCGAGGCUCGAGAGAUCCGGAUGAAGGAGCUGGAACGGCAGCAGAAAGAGAUCUAUCAAGUCCAGAAGAAAUAUUAUGGGCUGGAUACAAAAUGGGGCGACAUCGAGCAGUGGAUGGAAGACAGCGAGCGCUACUCUCGUAGAUUCCGGAGAAACACGUCGGCUUCUGACGAAGACGAGCGCUUGUCCGUGGGUAGUCGCGGCAGCCUAAGGGCACAGCCCGAGCUGGAGUAUGGGAGUCCCUACGCCUGGACUAACGGUUAUGACGGAGACUAUUGUGGAUCCCAGUCCCUAAGUAGAAGAUCUGGCAGGAAUUCCAGCUUCAGCGGCGGUGAUGGCCGAGUCUCUACUUUGUCAUCCUGCAGAGAGGAGAAGUUGGGACUCUCCUGCUCCAACCUUGGCCUUCCCAGCAGUGGCCUUGCUUCCAAACCCCUGUCUACCCAGAAUGGAUCCCGGCCCUUCGUUUUGUGCAAUGCUGCCUGGCCUACUGGGAGUUACCGGGCGUCCAUGCUGGAUGAGAGCAGCCUCUAUGGGGCUCGAAGGGGAAGCGCCUGUGGUUCUCGAGCACCCUCAGAAUAUGGCAGCCACCUCAACUCCAGCUCCCGGGCCUCUUCUAGGGCCAGCUCUGCAAGGGCCAGUCCUGUGGUAGAAGAAAGACCAGACAAAGACUUUGCUGAGAAGGGCUCCCGUAACAUGCCUAGCCUGUCUGCAGCCACACUGGCAUCUCUGGGUGGGACUUCCUCCCGGAGAGGGAGUGGAGAUACCUCCAUCUCCAUGGACACCGAAGCAUCCAUCAGGGAAAUCAAGGAACUUAAUGAGUUAAAGGACCAGAUUCAGGAUGUAGAAGGCAAAUACAUGCAGGGACUGAAAGAGAUGAAGGACUCGCUGGCCGAAGUUGAGGAGAAGUACAAGAAAGCUAUGGUCUCCAACGCCCAGCUAGACAAUGAGAAGACCAACUUCAUGUACCAGGUGGACACACUGAAGGACAUGCUGCUGGAGCUGGAAGAGCAGCUGGCCGAGUCUCAGCGGCAAUACGAGGAGAAGAACAAGGAGUUCGAGAGGGAGAAGCAUGCCCACAGCAUCCUGCAGUUCCAGUUUGCCGAAGUGAAAGAGGCCCUGCGGCAAAGGGAAGAGAUGCUCGAGGAAAUCCGACAGCUGCAGCAGAAACAGGCGGGUUUUAUCAGGGAGAUUUCUGAUCUUCAGGAAACGAUAGAAUGGAAAGACAAAAAGAUAGGGGCAUUAGAAAGACAGAAAGAGUUCUUUGAUUCCAUAAGGAGCGAACGAGAUGACCUUAGAGAAGAAACAGUCAAGCUGAAGGAGGAGUUGAAGAAACAUGGAAUAAUCCUAAAUUCAGAAAUAGCCACCAACGGAGAGACUUCAGACACAGUAAAUGACGUUGGGUAUCAAGCCCCUACGAAGAUAACAAAAGAAGAGCUGAAUGCCCUCAAGUCGGCCGGGGAGGGGACCCUAGGAAAAGCCAAAGAAGUGGAGGUGAAAAAGGAAAUUGUGGAGAAAGUGGGGCAAAGAGAAACCUUACAGAAUUCUGAGCAAGAACAGCCCAAACCCAACACAGGAAAGGAUUGUGUGGACAGAGGGGUGUCACAUCCUGGUGAGAAGGCUGAGAACCAGAGACCCGCUGAAGACAGUGCCCUGUCCCCGGGACCACUAGCAGGGGCCAAAUGUGAGCAACAGGUUCAGAGCCAAGAUCAAGAGAAUACUUCUGACCUCAAAAACUCAGAGCAGAUCGAGUCACACAAGGUCACAAACAAGUCAGAUAGUAGGGCCAGUAACUCCCCUGAACAGUCCAGCUGCCUGGAAGGUCUAGACAGUGAAGUGCCAGGGCCCACUGAGGAUUUGAAAACAGAUUUGGGGAAAGGUAGCUUUGAACCAUGUCCAGACUACAUUUUGGGGCAAACAGCUGAAAUUGACAAGGUGACCUGUACAGACUCAAGAGGCACAGGUGGAAACCAAAGGGAGGAUGAGGUACAGGCAGGGGACACCACAGUUGAGGACCAAGUAGGGACAGUGGCUUCUGGACCUGCAAAGCAAAGCAAAGGCACCGAGAAUCAUGGUGAAAGUUGUCUGAAGGAUGGGCUGGGACAGAGCUCAGAGAGAGAACUCACCCAAGAAGUAGCUGAGCCUGAGGAAGCCAUCGUUCAGAUCCCACAGGCCGGUGGAGAGAACACUAUUACCAAGGCAGAUGAUGCCGAAGGAAGGGAUGAGAAGCCCAUCCAGGCAGAAGCCCAGGCAAGCCCUGGAGCUCCCAUAAAUCAGAGCGGCCAUCAGGACACAACAGGACCAGGCAGCACCGAUGCCCAGCGCACACCACCUCAUGCAAAAGAGCGCAAGAAACAAGGGAAGAGCGAGCAGCAGGCAGAGGCCUUGGAUUCACCGCAGAAGAAGACGAAGAACAAGAAGAAGAAGAACAAGAAGAAGAAAGCUGCAACUCCCGCGGAAACCUGCAGAGAUGCCAAUGAAGAGUUGAACUGUCAGGACCCAGAUGUGGGUGACAUGGAGGAGGAAGAGCGGCUCCAGGUCACUGACAAGAAACAGGCAUCAGGAAGCCCAGAGCAGAAAAUCAGAGCGGGAAGCAGAGAACCUGUCGAAGAUCCUCAAAGUGGGUCGAGUGGAAAACAGAACAAAGUGGAAGAGGAUGGUCCCACGGAAGGUCCCACAGACAUCUUGGAUCAGAACAGUCCCCAGUGUGAAGACAGGGAGAUCUCCCCAGUGGGAGAGAAAGGUCCCCAAUGCGAUACCUCUCAGAUAGGUAGUGAAGAGGGACAUGUGACCUCCCAACACGGUGGUCAGGCAGUUGAGAACCACAACCUAGAUAACAGUGACCUGUCAGGGCAGCUGGAGGGCUUCAAUUCAGAAAGUGGAGGGCAGGCAAGAGAGGAGGUUGGGAAUAGCAAGAGUAAGGAGGACUGCACCAUGUCGUGAGGAGGCAGAGCAGGAGACUUAGCCCAGUAAGCUCCGUCCCUCAGCCACCCACUAUAUCAGAACCUCCAUCCUUCCGCUCCACUGCCCUGCUGAGGUUUAUUGAAUGUUCCAGUUUCUGUGGAUGCUCCAUGUGUCCAUCACCAAGUAUCAACUACUUAAGUCUUAGACUGUUACCUGUAGAUUUGUACUGAACCACUGAUCGCUGAGCCAGUACUGUUUUUUACUAGCAGUUCUAGCUGAGAACAUUCCAUUAGCAUCAGGGGACACCAGGUGUGCAUUCCAGCCUGAAGGUUAAAAGGUAGCGUUUGCUUCAGGCCAGGACGAAUGUGGAUGUUCUUGACCAAAUGCAUCAGUAUCUGGUUGAAAUGACCAAAUGGGGUGUUCGUAGAUUUCUGCAUUAUAAGCAGUGAAUAUUCAAAUAUGUGUUAUUCAGAUAGAUGUAUUUUCAUAUUUGAUCUUAAUAUGUACACAUAGCCUGUUUGGUAUUAAAUUUAAAGGAGUAGACUGAUAAGUAGCAUAUAGGUCAGUGGGUGAGAGGAGCUACAUCUAGGGUGGAGAUUUAUCACUGUAGAGAUUCAGAUACGUUCCAGAAAACACAGGGAGACCAUGUGCCUUUACCUCACAUAAAUACUUUAUUUUGCACCAAUGCUCUUGGAUCUUGUUGCCAAUGGUACCCAAAUUAAUAUUAUCAAAGACUUUUAUUUUCACUUUAUGCGGGUGAUGUAAUAAAUUCAUUUUAUAUUGAAUAUUUUAUUUUUACUCUUCUCUGCUAAUGACACAUUGAAAUUAUAUUUCCUACUUUAGUAUCAAGGAGAAACAGCCAUUAUUUUUUUUUAAUUUUAAAGUUAUCUUUCUGCCCGAAUGUCUACUUAAAAAUUGCAAAAGGCUGUUCUUAUACAAAAGGACUCAUUAGAUUAUAAGCCGACAUUUUGUGUUUGAUAUAAAUAUUUUUAUUUGUUGUUUCUCGAUAUUUUCUUAUUGGAAAUUUAUUAUUUUAUCUGCCUGAAGGAAGUAUGUAUUUUCUAUCUAAAGAAGCAUUUAGAAAAUGACUGUAAAGUUGAAUUUAAAAGUAUUAGUAAAUAAUCACAAGCGGAUGCACUAUGUGACUGCUGUUGUUGACAUGUUAUGGAGUCAUGUGAACUCGUACUACUGUUACAAGGUAGAGUGGAAUGCAAAAUAACCAAAACCUCAGUGAAAUUUGAGUCAAACUGAAGAGUCAUAUCAUUGAAAUAAAAGCAUUUUCUAAUUUUACAAGCCUACUGGUUGUUCUGGUCUUUGAGACCCUUGACCUCUAACCCUGGUAGCUGCUUGCUCGGUGCCCACAUGAAGUCACUUCUGGCUUCGAGCUCCCUCAGGGGUUCCAGAAAAUCCAGUUCCAAGUGCCUUCAUCAUUAGCAAGUGAGCCCCACUGCUGAGAGGCUGCCCUGGCGCUGGUGUGGAAGCCGAGAGAGCAGCCCCAAACCCAUCCCUGUACUCUGAACGUGCCCAUGUGUUCCCCACUAAGGAAGGCUUCCAUUGGUGCUCUGCUAAAGUGUGCCAGUGCAGAGCUGUUUGUGGAAGAGAAUAAAAGUGGUGAGGAAGGGGGCUGGAGAGACGGCUCAAUGGUUAAGAGCACCGACUGCUCUUUCAGAAGUCCUGAGUUCAAUUCCCAGAAACCACAUGGUGGCUCACAACCAUCUGUAAUGAGAUCUGAUACCCUAAUGGGAUCCGAUGCCCUCUUCUUGUGUGUCUUAAGAGAAAGUGAGGAAACACUGGCUGUGUGUGCAUGUCCUGAGAAACAGGGCAGACGAGCUGCUGCAUGCUCUACACCUAUGCCAUGAACAUGAAAUAGGAGGGAGGCUGCAGGCUGUGCCCCAGGGCUCUGCAGGGCCAGAAGGCUGCAGUCAGUGGCUCCAGCUUCGGCCAAGCCCCCAGUUAUACUUCAACUCAAAUGUCUACUCUCACUCAGUGCCUGGAAAGCUACCUCUAGGGGUGUUUAGAGGGCUUGGGGUUCUUGUUUUCUAUUGGUUGUUAACUUUCUGAGAGGCCACCUGGUCUCUUUAUGCCAAGGGGAACAUGGUAAACUAUAUUCCCAGUGGCCUGCCUCUGAAAGCCAGGAGGGGUGUUUUCUGUGCUGGGGCAGCAUGGUGGUCAUGCUUAGACACCGUUUUCCAGGGAAAAGGCAUUCCACCCACCCCUUCACCGCUUCUGCUGCCCCUUACACGCUUGCCCCUUUACACACACUUGGCUAUAAUGGCCAGUGGCUGAAGGAGGGAAGUCCCCUGUCCAUGCACACCCCUUGAGUGCUGUGAUAAGAAAAGAGAACCAGUUAAGCCACCCUUCUCUUUUCUGGAAGGAGGCAGCCUCGGGAAAGGUGGAAGCUGCCAUUGUUAGGUUCUGUCAGAGAAGGUAGGAGGAGGGGGCUUCGGGAAAGGUGCAGCCAGUGCGUUUCCUGGGCCCCCACCAUCACAUUUGAGCAUACAGGGGGACAAGUCCCUUGGGCAAUGGGGGUGGGGGACGUGAUAGCUAAAAUUAUCUCAUACAGUGCAAAGUACAUGCGGAAGACAUUCGCCACAAACAAAUCACUAGACUUGGGAAAGCUUCCUUUUGCCUAUGGAAGAAGGGAGUCCCAGCUUUCAGAGUUGUGGAUGGGGUAUUUUGGCCUUGAGUGAUCCUAGGAUGGAGUGUCUAAGAUACCCAGACUUCAAGAUGACCAAAGGAAUCAGGAGUUUGGAGAAUCCCAGCACUUGUUUGGGUGCCUCAGGAAUUUUCUAGAAGGUGCUAACUCUCUGCUUCCCAUUUGGGGGUCUCAAAACUACAGCAGAAAGUUUGCUAAAAUUUAACAUACUAGAAAAACAGAUUUUAAAAAAAACCUUUAAUGAGCUAAAGAUAACUUGAAUAUCUAACCGACUCAUUUUAACAUGCGUAAGUUAAAGUAGAACACGAAAGGGUCAGACGGUUGUUAAUUCUUGACAAGUACCGGCUCCAGGGGCUUGGGGGGGAUGGGGAACUUGGGUUAGGAUCCCUUAAAUGAAAACGAAGGCGGGUUUCACGUGUGUGCAUUUUCACCCACAACUCAGCCAAGUUAACUACUUUCUGGACAGUUCUGAAGGAGGCAAUGUGGGGACACGUUCAUGCUGGGGAUGGGAGCUCUAGGCCAGGUUUUAAGGGUUCCACUGAGAGGUUCAAGUCCUGACCUGAGAAGCCCACGGACAGCAGUGGUCAGGAACACCCUAAGGCUGUGAUCCCUUAGGCGUUAGGAGCAUCACCUACCCAUCACACUGGGCCUCCCCUUCAUCUGAAGGUCAAUGCAAGAUGCCUGUUCAUGGGGACCCUGGGCUUUGGACCAGCUUGUAGCAGAUAAACUGGAAGUGGCCACAGGGUCUUCAUAGGCAUUCAGCAUCCAACAUCCUGAUUUUGCAUUCGGGUAUUCAGGGUCAGUUCUUCCUGUAGAUCAGAGAGUCAUUUAGUACUCUUCUAGAGAGAUUUGGGGGGCUGACUGACAGACACACGCAUACACUUCCUUCUAUUCCUUCUGUUCCAUCCUGUUGGAGGUGGGAGGAGUUAAAGGAAUUAAAGCCAUUACUGUGCUUUUCUUACUAAAAAAAAUAAUAACAGCAUAUUAUAACUGGCUUGGUGGACAUGGUGUCAUUGGCUGGGGGGUUGUAAAGAGAGUUAAAACUCUGACAUCGGGUGCGUCUGUGCGAACAAUAGGUGUGGAGUAUAUACAUUUGGAAAGAGUUCUCCUUGAAACUUUAGCGCUCAUGAAACAGCAACCUUGCACAUUGCUAAACCGUGAAGCCUGUGAGAUCUUGUGUUGCAGCGUGUUUCCCUAGCGUUCUUGCAUGCUAGCCUAAAUAGAAGAGCAGCCUGUUUGCAUGAGCCCGGAGGCUGCCCCAAUGAGAAGCAUGUCGGGAGGCUGGCACCACCCUCUGGCUGAGCUCCUCCCCGUCCUGUCUGUGGCCUCAUCCAUCGUGACGUUAGGUUGAAAAAGCUCAUUGAUGAACGGGAAUGUCUGUUGGAACAGAUUAAGAAGCUCAAAGGGCAGCUGGAGGGAAGACAGAAGAACAACAAGCUGGACCUUCUUCGAGCCGAGGACGGUAUCUUGGAGAAUGGGACAGACGCGCAUGUCAUGGAUCUGCAAAGAGAUGCCAACAGACAGAUCAGCGACCUCAAAUUUAAACUUGCAAAAUCUGAGCAAGAGAUAACUGCCUUAGAACAAAAUGUAAUAAGGUUAGAGAGCCAAGUAACGCGCUAUCGAUCAGCCGCCGAAAAUGCAGAAAAAAUAGAAGAUGAACUAAAGGCAGAAAAACGGAAGCUCCAGAGAGAGCUUCGCUCUGCACUGGACAAAACAGAAGAGCUCGAGGUGAGCAACGGCCACCUCGUAAAGCGACUGGAAAAGAUGAAAGCCAACCGCAGCGCUCUCUUGUCCCAGCAAUAAAUACCAGCAGCAAGUGGGCACCUCUCUGGGGACUCAGAUGCCCAGCCUGGCUUAUGAGCUUUUAUCUGUACUGUCGGGAGCAUUGCAUCUUUCCCUGCCUCCGAGGGAAGAAGUGCUUCCAUGCAAGGGUCACCCGGGGAGCCCAGCAGCACCAGAUGCCUCUGUCUGCAGACCCUUGCCCUGGCCGGGAUGAUACUCAGAGCCUGCAGGUUUCUUCAUAAGCACACUGGGUCUCACGAGAGCUCUGGACUUGAUGCACAGGGGCCUCUUAAUCCCACCAACAGGGGUGACUGAGGUGGGGGUUAAGGUGGGACUUGAUUUUUCUUUUGUGUCUUGCUGAAGGUUAAGGGAGAAUGUUCCAGUGUUGGGGACGAUCCGUGGUGGAACCUACAGUCCCAAUGACUCCAGUAGUGUCUCUUAGUCUCUGCUUCCCAUACACAAAACACUGUGGAACCACAAGCCAUUACCAAGCAAAGCUCCUCCUUUGGAGUCGAGGCGAUGGUCUAGACGUAAAGUGACCUUAAGAAGACUCUUUCCAGGCAACAGAUGAAGCUUUUCUAAGGGACUUUUGCAUUGGUUCAGUUAUAAGAGUACUUUUCCCAGGGUCAUUAGGCUACGGUAGCUUCACCGAAAACAACAGCUUUUCAUUUGCAUUAUUUAAACCUUAUAUUUGAAAUUGAAGUUGUUAACUUCUUUUAAAGAAUGUACUGCUAGAAAAAAACAUUUUAAAAAUGAAACGUUAAAGAGC